rnacentral:rRNA from 1 species
UACGUAGGGGGCAAGCGUUGUCCGGAUUUAUUGGGCGUAAAGCGCGUGCAGGCGGCCAGAUAGGUCUGCUGUGAAAACUCGAGGCUCAACCUCGAGCUGUCGGCGGAAACCAUCUGGCUAGAGUCCGGAAGAGGAGAGUGGAAUUCCUGGUGUAGCGGUGAAAUGCGCAGAUAUCAGGAAGAACACCCGUGGCGAAGGCGGGUCUCUGGACAGUUCCUGACACUGAGACACGAAGGCCAGGGGAGCAAACGGG